GCUGGUCAAAUGUGUCUACAAGGGUUCAAAUGCUAGCUUUACAAAAAGUGUCAGCAGAAACCAUUGACAUGGAAGCCCACAAUGCUGCAACAGCAUGAAUGGAGAGUCCCCUGAUACCUUCUGGCCCAGGUAGAGAAUGGCAUCAAUAAUCUUUUCCUUUUAGUCUGGACCUCAGAUGCCAAAUACAAGACAAUCAUAUCCUGUUGAAGAUCAGUGAAUG